GACUUCUAGAGCCAGACACUGUCAGUGAGCCAGUGAGAAGGCACACAUCCGUUCAGGUGUCAGAAAACUUCCCACUCCUGGAGCUGUACUCUCUGAAGAAUCCAGAAACUCUGGGAACCUAGGUGAAGAAGCUGAAGUUCGGAGAGGUUGCUCAUGACUGAGAUCACUGCUGACUCCCAGCUCAGCUGAGCUUUAAUGACACCACCAUUGCCUCUCUUAGAUUAGGCUAAUGAUUUCUGAGGUCAUUUCCAGCUCUGAGGUUCUGUCGUUCUUUGUGAAGCUGGAGAGUCAAAGAGAAAGUGACCGAGAGAGAAGCUGAGACAGCACGGGGGUGACUCCCUGUGCCAAGGGGAUGGGUGGAUGGCACCUCAGAUGACAAGGACAAGAAGUACAGGCAGGCAGGAGGCAUACAUACAUGCUGAGCUUCUGGACAAUAAGGUCAAGAUGUCAGCCACCAUGGAAAGAGCAGAUUUAGGGGCAGCUAGGUUGUGCAGUGGAUAGAGCACCAGCCCUGGAGUCAGAAGGACCUGAGUUCAAACCAGA